rnacentral:rRNA from 1 species
CAAUAGCGUAUAUUAAAGUUGUUGCAGUUAAAAAGCUCGUAGUUGAACCUUGGGUCUGGCUGGCCGGUCCGCCUCACCGCGAGUACUGGUCCGGCUGGACCUUUCCUUCUGGGGAACCUCAUGGCCUUCACUGGCUGUGGGGGAGACCAGGACUUUUACUGUGAAAAAAUUAGAGUGUUCAAAGCAGGCCUACGCUUGAAUACAUUAGCAUGGAAUAAUGGAAUAGGACUUUGGUCUUAUUUGUUGGUUUAUGGGACCGAAGUAAUGAUUAACAGGGACAGUUGGGGCCGUUUAUAUUUCGUUGUCAGAGGUGAAAUUCUUGGAUUUACGAAAGAUAAACUUCUGCGAAAGCAUUUGCCAAGGAUGUUUUCAUUGAUCAAGAACGAAAGUUAGGGGAUCGAAGAUGAUUAGAUACCA